AGGAUAGUAGUUAAUUAUAACAUUUAAUUUGCACUUAAAAAGUAUUGUCUUUUCAAUCUAUCUUA
rnacentral:tRNA from 1 species